rnacentral:rRNA from 1 species
GACGAACGCUGGCGGCGUGCUUAACACAUGCAAGUCGAACGGAAAGGCCCUGCUUUUGUGGGGUGCUCGAGUGGCGAACGGGUGAGUAACACGUGAGUAACCUGCCCUUGACUUUGGGAUAACUUCAGGAAACUGUGGCUAAUACCGGAUAUGAGCUCCUGCUGCAUGGUGUGGGUUGGACAGUUUCGGCGGUUGGGGCUGGACUCGCGGCUUAUCAGCUUGUCGGUGGGGUAGUGGCUUACCAAGGCUUUGACGGGUAGCCGGCCUGAGAGGGUGACCGGCCACAUUGGGACUGAGAGACGGCCCAGACGCCUACGGGAGGCAGCAGUGGGGAAUAUUGCACAAUGGGCGGAAGCCUGAGGCAGCAACGCCGCGUGCGGGAUGACGGCCUUCGGGUUGUAAACCGCUUUCGCCUGUGACGAAGAGUGAGUGACGGUAAUGGGUAAAGAAGCACCGGCUAACUACGUG